AUGUCUAAACUUCUUUACAGUGAAAUGAUCUUGAUUGGUGAUCUCAACUGGUGUUGGUUAAAGCCAGUGUCUGAUGAUUUAAAAAUGUUUUGUAAUUCUAUGAAUCUUACCCAGUUGAUGAACUCACCCACUCGCCCAAAUCUUAAAUGCCCAGAUAAAUCUACCCUGAUUGAUUUGAUAUUGACAAAUGUUCCACAUAAAUAUUCUGCGGUUGGUGUUUUUUGUAAUGAUUUAAGUGACCAUUGUGCUGUUGUUGCUGUUAGAAAUACUAAGGUUCCAAAGACAAACCCACGUUUUAUUCGUAAAAGAAAUGUGAAGUGUUUUAAUGAGCAGGCUUUCUUUCAUGAUUUGUUUUAUUUUGACUGGAGCAAGAUUGAGCUUAUCCCUGAUGUGGAAACUGCCUGGAAAUUCUUUCAUGAUGGUUUUUCCCAAAUAGUAAACAAACAUGCCCCAUUCUGCAGGUUCAGAGUUAAAGGGCGGGAUAAUCCAUGGUUUUCUUCUGAGCUGUCUUGUAUUAUUCACGACCGUAAUCUAGCCUGGGCUAAAGCAAGGAAAUCAUGUUCUGAUGCUGAUUGGCUUAUUUUUAGGCAGUUCCGAAACAAGUAUUAUAUUCUUCUCAGGAAGGCCAAGUCUGAAUAUUUUAUAUCUGUUACCACUGAUAACCUGAAUGACCCUAGAAAGUGUUGGAAGGCUAUUAAGUCUAUUUCUGGUAACAGUAAUGUUAAUGAAUUACCGUCAUGUGUUUUGAAGGACUCUGUUGCUAUAUAUGACAAAACUGAAAUGCUGAAUUGUUUCAAUGAGCAUUUUGUAUCAUCUGGUAGGCUGUUUGAUUCAGUGUCCUCUGUCUCUGUACAACCUUGUGUGGAUGAACCAGUGAGAGCUGGUCAAACUUUUUGCUUUUUGCCAUUCUCAGUGCAGGUGGUACAUAAAGCCCUGAAAUCCUUGGAUCAGAGAAAGACUGCAGGUCCUGAUCUUUUGGAUCCCUGCUUUUUAAAUCUGGCAGCUGAUUUCAUAGCUGAACCACUUACUGUACAUCUCUGUUCAAUCUAA
rnacentral:lncRNA from 1 species